GCCAGGAACCUCAGAGCCCCAAAGAGGGUGUCACAGCCCUGGCUCAGAGAGCUCCUAGGUCUGGGCUUCCUGAAGGCCGCAGCUCUUCUCUCCUUGUUGCUGCCAACAUAGCGAGCAGGGGGCCUGUUUCAACCCUGUUUGUAUUACAACUCUUUCAGCCCCACUGAGUUCUUGUCCUGUGCCCAGGAAGAAUGAGGUACACGGACAAAUGGAGGGUGAGCGGGAUGAAGAGGAGCUUUUUUGAGCAAUAGAAGAGCUCAGAGAAGACCCACAGAGGGUAGCUCCUCUCUGCAGCCAGGGUGUCCCAAGUGUUCAGCCCUCAGCAGAGAGGAAACUCUAGAAUGGGUAGCUCCUCUCCACAGGCAGGUUGUCCUGUUGUCUUCUCAGCCCUCAGCAGAGAGGAGACCCUGGGGUGGGUAGCUCCUCUCCACAGCUGGUCAUCCUGUUUUCUCUUUUUGAGUAUGGAUGAGUCCAGGUUUUAUAUGGGCUUCAGAGGAGAGAAAGUGCAUGCUGACUGGUCCAUGGGGGGGCCAUGGGUGGGCCCAGAAAAAGCACCGUAAGUUCGCACUCUGGUCUGUGGGACUGGCAGCCCAGCCCCCAGACUUCAGGCCUUCUCCACCCUGAAGGUGGGGCUUCACUGGCAACCCACCUCUUUCCGCCCAGGAACCUGUCUGCCUCCUGUUGCUGUUCAUGGUGCCCAGGUUGUUUCUGUCAAGGGGCGCCUGCAAACCAGGGCUGAGCUGCCCUCAGCCCUACCUCGACCUCCCUCCCAUGCUCAUCAGUGCCCAAAGUCUGGAGGGGGCUGAGGCGGCAGGGGUCUGGUGUGUCAGCACUGCCCCAAGCAUAUACACACCCGGCUGGGUUGCAACAUCACCCAGACUCAGCCUCAACCUCGCUCCAAGAUUGAAAUGGGCACCAGGAGCAGGGAGGGGCCAGACACUGGGAGCAAGCAUCUCUGAGCUGUUGCGGGAGGGGGGCUUCCUGGGUCUCUCUUCCUAGGCAGAGAUGCCUAGGUCAGCAGCCAUCGUUUGAGUGGCUGUAGCUGCACCCAGGAUGGUGGGGCUUCUUCCUGCUACCGCCCCUCUCCCCCCGCCAAGAGCGCAGGGAUGCCCGGGUCAGCAGCUGCAGCUGGGUGGCCACAACUGCACCCAGGAAGUGCAAGGCUCCCGCCCUGCCAAUUCAGAAGGUGGCGGGGCUUCCACCUGUUCCCAGCUCCCACCAGCUCUGUGGAGCACGCAGUCUUGGCUGCACCUCGCCCACUGCAGCCAGGGUCAUGGCAGUGGCCACUCUAGAUGGGCAACCACUGCCAUCAAUAGUUGCUUGUUUUUUAUUAAGGUAUUUCUGAAUUUAUUACCUUUUUGGCAAUCCCCUUGCAAUAGGGAUCCAACCAAUAUCAAUAUCCAGUGAAGGGAUGAUCAUUAAUUGCAAAUGGCUGGUUCUUUUAGGGUUUUUAAAUUUUAUUUUUGUUUGAGACAGAAUUUCACUCUUGUUGCCCAGGCUGGAAUGCAAUGGUACUAUCUCGUUUCACUGCAACCUCUGCCUCCCGGGUUCAAGUGAUUCUCCUGCCUCAGCCUCCCAAGUAGCUGGGAUUACAGGUGGGAGGAUUGCUUGAGUGUGGAAGUCCGAGACCAGCCUGGGCAACACAGUAAGACUUUGUCUCCACAAAAAAUAAACAUGAGCAUGGUGGCGCACGCCUGUAUUCCAGCUACUCAGGAGGCUGAGGUGGGAGGAUCCCUUGUUGCAGUACGCCGAGAUUGCACGAUGGCACUCCAGCCUGGCCGACAGAGUGAGACCCUGUUUCCC
rnacentral:lncRNA from 10 species